UGAAAACAAAAAUAAAGUUACAAGUUUCAAAGCUAUAUCCAUUGAUCAAUCUCAGGAUUAGUAAAAGACUACACACAAACUGCCUCAAUAUCAGAACUGAAAUCCCCUGACGACUAAUCCAAACACUAGUUUCUACAAAACAUAGCACUAAGCCACUCAAAAUGAUCCAAUGCCAAAGAACCAAAAGUGCAUCAGAAAAGAAGAGACAGUAAAGCACCUCUCGACUACGAACCCAACCAAAACCUUCACGAAUCUUCUUCCUUUCCCUCCUCCACCACCACCUGAGAACUCAAAGCUAUACUUGCUAGACGUCGGAGAACUGAAUGCUGCUCCCAAAGAAACGCUAUGUGUCAAUCGCAACACACACAACCCAAAGCAGAAUGUGUAUGCUUACAACAACAAAACCAAGCUUACAAAGCCAACACAACACAUCAUAAUUAAAGACUUAAGUUUUUUAUGGAACAGAACAGUUCACAUUUAAAAAUUAAACUCAUGCAAAUGAGUCGAUCACGCUAGAUAAAACAGAACAUCAGUCAUACUAGCAGAAAGUCGAUCAAGCUAGAUAAAACAGAACAUCAGUGAUACUAGAAGAAACAACUAACUAGCUCAUAUCAUCAAAAUGCAUCAAAACCUGUGUUUUAAAAAGCGCUAGGCGAACCAAGGCCAGGGAUCACGAUACGUGAACAAACAACAAAAUAUAGAGACUUUACUAAAAUCAAACAUGUCAAUUAGUUUGCAUAAACCUCAUCAAGAACUCUAAAGUUCGAAGCUUUAAGCAAAAGUGAAUAUGGGGUUUCUAAUUUACCUUAUGGCUGAGACAAAUCUUCUUGUUGCAAGCAAAAAAAGAAGAAUUUAUAUAUAAUUAUUAAGAAAAAUAAAUCGAGGAUUGGAGAAGAGAAAUUGGGGAUCGGAGACUUACGCUUAGGCAUCAGAUGGACCUGACGGCGAUUGAAGUGACGAGACGCUUCCCUUUGCGACGGAGAGGAGAAGACUAGAUAAGAAGGAGAGGCGAUUGACCGGAGGAGAGACGAUUAAACGGAGGAGAGCUGAUUGAUCGGAGGUGACGCCGAUGGAACGUAGGAGAGCUGAUAGACCGGAGGAUACGCCGAUUGAACGGAGGUGACACUUUCGUUGAGAAAUUCAAUCGGCGUCCCAACGGAGACCACGAGAAAACAAAAGAGAAAGAGA
rnacentral:lncRNA from 1 species